rnacentral:lncRNA from 1 species
GCUCAUUUCCUGGAUGAGUAUCUGCACGAUAUAAAAGCCUUCAAUAGCCUGUGGUUGUCACACAUGCAAAACUUGAGUGCAUUUUUUUCAUAUUGACUAACGUGGCCUAGAGCUAUGUGAAAGUCUAAAGACAUCUCAAGUGAAAACAAUGCAUGAGAAAUUCUGUGGUUCUUUUUCUGCAAGAUAAAAAAUGUCUACUAAAUCCAUUUCAAGUAUAUCACAGAACGCCAUUACCCAGCAGAUUGGUCACAUAUUUGUAAUGGCAUUCUGUCUGUAGGCUUAUUGCCUUUGAGAACACACACAGAAGUUGUUAUAUAGUUUCUUGUAUCGCAAGUACUUGAGAAUGUAUCAUGCCUCCUAAACUAGCUUGAUGGUUAUAACUUUGGCAUUGUCCAUCACCUUCUGCCAUGGUGCCCCCAGGAACAUUUUUGCAUGCGUUUGUGGAACAAAUGAACUCAAUAGUCCUUGCUGAUGCACCAGUAGAAUUUGGUCCAGAAUGUAGUUGAAUAACUGGCUAAUGGAUUUUCCACUCUUAAAAUUCUUUUUUUCCUAGGUCAUUUUAUUUUCAAAACAACACAUUGACUGAGAUGCUGAGCACAAUAUUUAUUGUGAAUGUCCGAGUGAAGUGCAAAAUGAAUAACCUUGAAUCAGGUUUUCCUAGUCUGUUUAACUUUGGUGAAGCUUUCGCUUCAACAGAAUCUAAAACUGUGUUUUCUAAUUGAAUGGAUGUUGGUACCUCACUGUGUGAGGUAAGAAGACAAGGGACAGCUAAAACAAAGGGCACACUAGGGCUC